GGGUGAAAUGACUCAAAUUCCCCCCAACCGCUCCACUUCUCACUAGCUCGCAUCUCCCUCCCAUGGCGGCUUCGCCCGCCCUCCUUUCCCUCUCCCUUGCUCCCGCCGUCUCCAGGCAUCCCCACCUCCUCUUCUCCAGCACCCACUCGCCUCGCCACCUUCGCCUUGCGCUUCCCUCCGCCUCUUCCUCUUCCUCUCCGUCCCCCUCCCCCUCCCCCUCCCCGCGUGGCGGCGGCGUCUUCCUCUCGCCGAGCGCGCUCUCGCAGCUCGACGCGCUCGCCGCUUUCCGCUACGCGCACUCCUUCCCCCACGGCAUCCUCACCGUGCGCGCCCUCACCGCACCCGACGACGCCGAGGCCGACGCGCUCGUCGGCCUCCUCGCCUCCUCCUUCGCCGAGGAUGUCAGGUGGGCCCCUGCGCAGCGCUAUGCCCAGCUCCUCGCGUUCGUCAUCCGCCGUUACCUCCACGAGCGCCGCGGCCUCGCUCCCCACGCCGCCGUGCUCGUGGGUUUCUACAAGCCCGCCGUUGCGGAAGAAGGAGAGGAGGGCGAGGACGGCGAGGAUGAGGGGGAGAUGGCGUGCACAGCCGAGGUGUCGCUGGACGCGGUAGGCGCGCCCGGGGCACCGCCCACGCCCACGCCGCCGCUAGAGUUUCCUUACAUCUGCAACAUGACCGUGAAGACCUCGUUGAGGAGGAGAGGAAUUGGAAAGCAACUUCUUAAGGCAUGUGAGGAUCUAGCUGUCAAGAUGGAUGCGAAAAGACGUGUAUAUCUUCAUUGUCGAAUAAUCGACCAAAUUCCGUUCAACAUGUACAAAAAAGCAGGAUAUGAAGUAGUUCAGACUGACAGUAUUUUUGUCUGGCUGAGCCUCCAGAAGCGCAAGCACUUGAUGCGCAAGGAAUUACCGCAAGUUGCUUCUGGCAGUAAUUUUACAACCAUAGAUUUUGAUGACAAUGUUUUGAUGAACUAAACAUUAUCUAGCACCAUCAGUUCUGUUGCAAGAUCCUCCGGUAUCCCAUAAUCCAUUUUCAAAGUGUGCCGGCGUUGCUGUCCGUACCACUGUUAACUGCAAUCUGGGUUCCUGGUGUUUGUUCAAGUUACUGAGAGUCGUCUUAAACACCCUUUGAAUCGCUGAAAGAACAGUGAAGCUUGUGAUGUUAUCCUCUGAGCAAUAUAUGCAACCAAUGAGUUUCCCAUCUUCAUAGAGAUAAUUUGUUCUGAAGAACCAACGUGAACUAGACACAACCAAGAUAUUGAGCUCAUAAAUUUGGUCCACAGUGCCAUGAGAGUGAAGUUAUGAGAUCUGAAGUGCCAAGUGAUAAAUUUGUCUGUUGUGUCGCUGUGAACUUUCGCUGGAACUUCUACCUGCAUUGGUUUGGACAGUUUGUCUCAGAUCUACUCACGAUAACAAGAGAAAUGUUUCCAGAUGUAAAGCAAAUGAAGAAGAAUUGCUACAGUACUGUAUUGUGGAGGAAACUGCUGCGAUUAUUGAAUCGUUGGCAGCCAUUGUGCCCCAAGAGGGAUAUCUAGAUUUGGGACAGAUGUCUCCUGCUCAUGGAGAUCAAGGCGGCGGAGGUUCCCCGGCUGCAGUGAGCAAGAAACGCCGCACCUCUAUACUUGGACCGGGGACUCCGAAGGUGGGGGAGCACAAGCCACAGCUGCAGCUGACGGCAUGUUGAACUUCAACUCAGGCAGCUGUACAUCCGGUGCUCUGCCCUACUGGCGUCAGAAACUUAGACUGUCAAAGUGUUGCAGUAUUUUGUUUUCCCCUAGUUUUCGUUUGAUGGCUCUGUAGAGCACGUUUUUUAAGUCAGUUUCAAUUUGGUUGUAACCGGGAGCUUUAACUGAACAUGUUUGUUUCGUUUCCGAUGAAAUGGAACAGGGCAGCGAUGCGUUUUAUCUAAAAAAACCAAUAGCAUUUUUUGGUUC